rnacentral:rRNA from 1 species
UACGGGGGGAGCAAGCGUUGUUCGGAUUUACUGGGCGUAAAGGGCGCGUAGGCGGUCAGCACGAGUCAGUUGUGAAAUCUCCGGGCUUAACUCGGAAAGGUCAACUGAUACUGUGCGACUAGAGUGCGGAAGGGGCAACUGGAAUUCUCGGUGUAGCGGUGAAAUGCGUAGAUAUCGAGAGGAACACCAGAGGCGAAAGCGGCGACCUGGACAGGCACUGACACUCAACUACGAAAGCGUGGGGAGCAAACAGG